UGGAGUCGCCCUGCCUCGAGUUGAAUCCUCAUUUCCUCAGUUCCUCAGCCGAAAACUCUCUCGGCCCCGACUUUUUCCUCAUCUCUCAAUCGAAUCCUCGCCGCCACCGGACGCCACCAAUCAAUUCCGGUGACACAAAGAUGGGAACUCAGGAAGACAGGAACUCACAGCAGCUUUCCAUCUCUCUUUCCAUCGGUAAGCAACAAGUAGAGAUUGAAGAAGACUGGGCUGAAGCUGUUGAAGAAGUCAGCGACUGAAGCUGAACGACACCGCCUCAGACCUGCUAACUGUGAUCCAGAUUUGCUUACAUUUGAGAUGAAGAAGAAGAAGAAAAGGGGGAUGUCACGUAAUAAGCACUUGGAGUCCCCAAAUAAAUACCAAUGAUUGAAUGGUAAUGAUAGACAUCGCUCCUAUAUUGUUAAUCUAUUACAUCCUCUCGGAAGAAUGUUUGAAAUCCAGCUCCUUUUGCAGGGUUCUUGUUUAAUGUGGAUUUUGAGGACAUAUUACAACGGAUAACUGCUGCUAAUUGUCUUAAUACAUGUCUGUUAACGCAACGUCUCUAGUCCACUCAUAAAUAAGAUGUUCUACUGUUUUUGAGACCUUUUUACCAGUUUGUUACUGGUUGCUAACUCCAUUGUAGUUCUGUGGCACCCAAAGAGUAUCCUAUAUAUGUGCAGAAUAUACUUGGCUUGAGCAUGGAAUAUACUUGCAGAAUAUCCUAUCUAUAGUUUGCAUUCUGUACUUAUAGAAUGUGAUACUUGGUGUGCUCAAUUGCCUACUUUUAUGCGACUGAAAUUUGAAUCUCAUCUCAGUGAGUUAUAUGUAAAUCUUCAUUCCUUUACUGGGGCUCAUUUAUGAGUUAUCUAGCGCCCUCAAGCCCCCAUUUUCCAACAAAAUGUUUGCUUUUGAGUUUGGAUUAGAAUGAUUUGGUUGUUUAAUUAGCUGGAGGUGUAUCUAUUUCUCUUCUAUCUUUGUUUUUUCUUUUUGGUGUGAAAACUUGACGUGUGAUUAAGUUUGGAUGGACUGUUUGUUUACUUCCAGAAGACUAUAAGCUUGAGUAAUGUUUCUUUCUCUUUCAAUAUGUAAUCAGUUUCUACUAGUAUUUAGCAAGGGAGGAAGAAGUUAAGAAGAGGCUUUGUGUUGACUGUGUUCCGAUUGAAAGGUAAGUAAUGAGAUGUGCUUUUGUGCUUUUGUUUAACAGAUUUCAUUGAUUUACUUUUAUUAUUGCUAAUUUUUUGUUAUUAUUGUUGUAGAUUAGCUUGGAAUAGACUUGCAGAUUUGGGCUAGUUCUAGAUUUGAUAUUGCUGAAAAUGAAGAUUUGGGCUGUUUUCUGUUUUGUAAUUGUAUUGCAGUUUAUGUAUUUUGUUUCUGUUUGCAGUUUUAUUUUUGCAGUUUCUGUUUGGUCUAUAUACAUUGCAGUUUUUGUUUGGUCUAUAUACAUUGCAGUUUUUGUUUUUUUGUUUUGUAUUGCAGUUUGAUUUUUGCACUUUCUUACUGCAGUUUCUGUUUUUGGUUUCUUAUUGCAGUUUGUGCUUUAUACUAGUGCUCAUUAACUUUCAUAUUCUGUUUUCACUUUCUUAAUGCAGUUUCUGUUCUGUUUUGCAGAUCAACACUAGUGUUGGUGAAUCUACAACACCAAUACCUCCCCACGAAGGAACUUCUACUGCAACUAGUUUUAGUGAACUUAUACUUCUUUGAUGUAAUGGACUUUUAUAAAUUAUGGACUAUAUUUUUUGACCAUUUCAUAUGUUGAUGCUAGAAUUUGAUGGACUAUUGGACUAUAUCAAUUGAAUUAUAUGGACUAUGGAGUAUUGAAUUAUA